GAGAGCCGUACAAAAACCUCCCUCAGUCAGACUGCACAGAGACUGCACUGCUGCAGCUGGGACCUACUGCAGGUGCUGAGGGGGGAGGCACUGGUCUGGGACAGCAGUACUGCCAACUGGGCUGUAGGGGGCGACAACGAGCCACAUCUCUGAAUGCACAUCUCUCUGUCCUGAAGAGGAGCUGCUCUGUGUCACACACACUGAGCCCAUAGCAGAGCUGCAGCUGAGCCACACACACUUCUGUACCACAACAUCACAGGCAUCACACAGUACAUCAGCUCACAAGCAGCAAUCAUCUCCAUUUUGCUCUUGAGUUCAGACUAAUGCAGAGGAUGUGUACAUUCUCCCAGAGCUGGAAUGAGUGGGAUUUCAAAUUAAUUAAUCCAGAAUGUGAAUACCUUCUGUGGUGACACUGAUGAAUCAGAAGUUAAAGAAUGGACCCAACCCACCAUUCUCAUCAGACUUCUACUAGAAAUAAUGCAGUAUGCAGGCACGUUUGAGAAGUGGAGCUAAUUGGAUAAAAUGUCUCACUUCAGGAAGUUGCUGUUGACAAAUGAAGAUGACUGAAACCAAAAUCAGUGAAGCAAUUGAAUAUAUUAUAAUAUAGAAUAUAAUAUAAUAUCUGCAAGUUGUUUUAGCAAGCAAAA